GACGAACGCUGGCGGCGUGCUUAACACAUGCAAGUCGAACGGUGAAGCGCCUUCCUUUUUGGUGGGUGUGGAUGAGUGGCGAACGGGUGAGUAACACGUGAGUAACCUGCCCCCUUCUUCUGGAUAACCGCAUGAAAGUGUGGCUAAUACGGGAUAUUCUGGGUCUGUCGCAUGAUGGGUCUGGGAAAGAUAUUGUUUCGGUGGGGGAUGGGCUCGCGGCCUAUCAGCUUGUUGGGGGGGUGAUGGCCUACCAAGGCGGUGACGGGUAGCCGGCCUGAGAGGGUGGACGGUCACACUGGGACUGAGACACGGCCCAGACUCCUACGGGAGGCAGCAGUGGGGAAUAGUGCACAAUGGGCGCAAGCCUGAUGCAGCGACGCCGCGUGAGGGAUGGAGGCCUGCGGGUUGUGAACCUCUUUCGCCAGUGAAGCAGGCCUGCCUCGUUUGUGGGUGGGUUGACGGUAGCUGGAGAAGAAGCGCCGGCUAACUACGUG
rnacentral:rRNA from 1 species